UACGGGGGGGGCAAGCGUUGUUCGGAAUUACUGGGCGUAAAGGGCUCGUAGGCGGCCAACUAAGUCAGACGUGAAAUCCCUCGGCUUAACCGGGGAACUGCGUCUGAUACUGGAUGGCUAGAGUGUGGGAGAGGGAUGCGGAAUUCCAGGUGUAGCGGUGAAAUGCGCAGAUAUCAGGAGGAACACCGGUGGCGAAGGCGGUGGUCUGGGCCGGCACUGACGCUGAGGAGCGAAAGCGUGGGGAGCAAACAGG
rnacentral:rRNA from 1 species